rnacentral:rRNA from 1 species
GACAGAGGGUGCAAACGUUGUUCGGAAUUACUGGGCGUAAAGCGCGUGUAGGUGGCGAGGCAAGUCGGGUGUGAAAGCCCUGGGCUCAACCCAGGAAGUGCACUCGAUACUGCCUAGCUAGAGUCCCGGAGAGGUUGGUGGAACUCUCGGGUGUAGAGGUGAAAUUCGUAGAUAUCGAGAAGAACACCGGUGGCGAAGGCGGCCACUGGACGGUGACUGACACUGAGACGCGAAAGCGUGGGGAGACAAACAGGGA